UGAGGAAUUUUGCGCAAUGGGAGCAAUCCUGACGCAGCAACGCCGCGUGGGUGAUGAAGGCUUUCGGGUCGUAAAGCCCUGUCAGGUGGGAAGAAUGUCCCGGGACUGAACAGGUUCCGGGAGUGACGGUACCACCAGAGGAAGCACCGGCUAACUCCGUGCCAGCAGCCGCGGUAAUACGGCGGGUGCAAGCGUUAUUCGGAAUUACUGGGCGGAAAGCGCGUGUAGGCGGUCCUGCAAGUCUGAUGUGAAAGCCCCGGGCUUAACCCGGGAAGUGCAUUGGAAACUGUGGGACUUGAGUACUGGAGAGGAGGGGGGAAUUCCCGGUGUAGAGGUGAAAUUCGUAGAGAUCGGGAGGAAUAUCAGUGGCGAAGGCGCCCAUCUGGACGGUAACUGACGCUGAGACGCGAAAGCGUGGGGAGCAAACA
rnacentral:rRNA from 1 species